CCCACGUAGCGUCAGUCAAACACCGGCCCUCUUUCUCCCAAUCCCCGCAGCCGCCGCGCCCGGCACACCUCCCUCCUCCACUCCCCCCCGCACCCCACCCUUCCCCGUCGAGCUUGUUCCUCUAGCCACCCACUCGUCUCCUCCUCCUCCUCCUCUCUCUCUCUCUUCUAGCUUCCUCAUCCUUCCGGAUCUCUGCGUCGGCCGGACCGCGAGAGGAGCGGCGGUGGUGGAGACGCUCCGGUGGUGGCAUCGAGUUGCAAACCCCAGGAACCAGGUCUGGGGGUUCGGUUCCAAGGCGCGAACGGCUUCUCCAUCUGUGACGUCGAGGGCAAGUGCACACCCCAGUCCCCUCCUCUGCGCGAACCAUACGAGAGAGAGAGGAAGAUGAGAGGGAGGGAGAGAGAAUGACCGGCGUCGGCCUGCGCCGGCGAGGACGGGCGCGACUUGGAGGUUGGCUGCUGGUCGAUCUGCUCUUGGAUCGGGAGCUUCGACGAAGCUAGGGUUCGGGCGCGUUGCAACGGAGGCUGCACUCCACCUCUUCCUCGUGGUGCGGUGGACGGCAGCUCUUGCAGUCGUGCGGCCGACAGCGGCCUCAGCGGGUGGUCGACGACACUUGCAGCUGGUGCUCUACCCAUGGAUUCCGGCACAACCCGAAAUACUCAGGACAAAUGAGGCCUCGGCUAAUGGUGGAGAAGACAGACUACAGGGACGAGCCGCUGGAGCACGUGUUCAUGGGAUGUUCGUGCGCAAGAUGCAGAAGUUCGCCGGAAGGAAGAAGAGUUGGCCGGCGAGGAUGAGGAGAAGGCGGGAUGCGAGGUGCUUGCACGCGCAGCAGCAGGAGGCCGUCCGUGAGGUGCUCCUCUGGAUGCUCCCUUCCGGCGUUGGGCCUAGGUGUUCAACGCCACCCUCACCAUCCCCUUCUUCCAUUGGCUCAUCGGCCCGUCAGAGGUCAGAGAUCUAAUACUCUUAGUUAUGUGUGUGUGUGUGUCCGGGCACCUGUUGUGUUUUUUGCUGGCUUGUUGGUGCGUGCAUGAUUGUUGUGACUGGGCGCUGGCUGUUCGGUGCUGGGCUGCUGAUGGCAUGCUACCUGCUUUGAAAAGAAGGAAUGAAAGGAAGCAUUUGUUCAUAGAACAAAUAUAUUCAUUGUUUGUUAAGAUAAAUAUCCCUAUCCUCUGUUUGUUUCUUGAUUAUUCUCUGUGAACUUUUGUUCUAUAUGCAGACAAGUUUCCUCCAUGUUAUGUCAACAUACCAUGGUGAUGUAUGUGAAAGAUUGAAAGUGCGGUACUACAUAAAGACUCGCUGCAAUUAUUGUUGCAUAAUCACAACUUUCAUAACAUUAACUUCCAUUGUCUUUUAUCUCGGGUAAAAUCUAUUUUUCUACCUGAUUGAUGUGGUUAGUUUGAUAUAUAGUAGAAUAUCAACAUUCUCCUUUAUGAUGGCUGAUGGGCAGUGUGUUUCGUCCAAAUGAUAUGUUUCCUGUAUUGUUAUAGAUGUCUAUUUGGCUUAUGAUCGUACUGUUGAGCACAUCUUACUCUUGUGCUGAAGAUAAAUGGUACUAAUCAAUCUGCCAAAGCUUUGUGAUGUGAAAGUGCAUUUGGUAGGAAGGGUUCUGCAGAUAACCCCUUCAGAUUCUGUCCCUUCAAGAUUUUUUUUGUAUCAAGCCAUAAAUUUAAACAGGAAUCCUUCAGUGGCUAUUUUGUUUAUCCACACACUUUCUAAUGUCUGGUCCUCUUAACUUAGGAUAAGCUUUUUACUGUCUUUGUUUUUUGAUUAUCAUCAACAAUAAUGGUUCUGUUGUCCCUUAGUCUGUCAAUGCUGAUGCUAUUUGAAUGCUGAGAAGCGAACUCGGAAAUCAGCCCGCUAACAAGAGUCGGAAUUCGAAUCUGAGGCAAGUUUUACAUUCCCCAAUUUGUCUACUGAACCCAUGGUCUCUCUUUCUUCUGCAUUAUUUCUCAUUCAUUAUCUAAGAUAUAAUUUCGACUUCACUGCAUCGUGUUGUCUGGUUUAUAAUGCCGGUUGAGCUCAUUUCUAAUUGUUCAUAACUACUUAAUUUUUUGUUGUGAUUUUGCAAGAUAUUUAAAUUAUUGUAUUUCGAAAUUGUUAUUCUGAUUCUCGAUGCUCUGUUCAUGGCUUUUUUUUCUUAUUUUAUCCUUCUUUGCUUUUCUCCUUUCCUGCAAGAAGAUGUCGAGUCAUGUAAUAUGUUUAAAGAAGAGAGAAUCUGCAUUUUAUGAAUCCUUUCUUCUUUUUUCAUUGUUACUUCAAGUUAGUGAAUUCAUUUAAGUUGUAUUGAUGAGCUUCAUGUGCAUGGUUUCUUCAUCUACACAUCUUAUUCAGUCACGAGGCCAGUAAGAUAUUUUGCCUUUUAGAAAAAGGGAGAUGCCAUUUAGACCUUACUCUUCCAACUUGAUCUUUAACUUGCUACUACUGUUUCUAAGCAUUUUCCCAAGAAUUUUUUAUUUGCUUCAGAGAAUGAGCUCACCUUAUUCAUUGGAUGUGCCAAGUAAAAAAAAAUAGAAACUGAACAAUUAGUUCCACUCUUUAAUUUUGUACAACGGUCCAAAUUAUCCAAUAAAUCAUUUGUUAGCAGGGUCUAAUUAUAGAAGUCGAAUCAGUUGUUCCAAAUUACAAUGUGUGACUUAUUCCAUUUUUUUUAUCCUUUUGUCCUUUUAAUCAAGAACAAUGUUUAGAGCUUACAUGGUUGUCCAAAUUUAGUUCUGUAAAAGAGGAAUAUUGAUUUCAUGCAAUGAUCAGUGCAGAUUAGGAUAGUUAUAGAGUUCUUCCUCAGUUUUCAUUGAGCAAAGAUUGAAUAUGUAUGAUUUUUAUUAAUACCAAGUAAAUCUUGGUCUGCAUUCUGUUAGUUUUCCUACUGAGUUUUUUUGGCUAUUUUCGUUUAAAUUGGUAGCUGAUGUGAAAAAGUGUGUGUUGACAUGCAUGUAACCAAAUCAUGUAUUAAUGUGAGGUACUACAUAUAUUUUCCUAUCUCUUUCCAGAAGCACAACCCUCUUGAUCCAACUAGGAACAUCAAAACCAAAUGGGAAAUCAUUGAGUGGACUUCAGAUGGCCAUGCUUACGACAAGGAGGCAGGGUGGGGGGGGGGGGUCGGCCGUGGAGGGAGGCUCGCCGGCCGGAGCAGCAGGAACAAGGAGGCGGGGUCGGCCGUGGAAGGGAGGCUAGCCGGCCAGAGCAGCAGCAGCAAGGAGGCGGGGUCGGUCGUGGCAACUGGAAGAGCUGCUGGUCAGCCUGACACACUGCCUCAGCCAUGUCUCCUCUGAUGCAGCCUGGACGCUCAAGAGAGGUAGUUGUGCCGUCACUGGUGGCGAGUUCAGCGGCCGCCCCCUCCUCUUCUCUUCGAACCCAGCCCUCUCUUGAGUGUGUCGUGCCCUCAACUACGGUAAAGCACCAGGUCCACGUGAGCUCCUCCUUCAACCCGCGUAUGUGAUUUCUUCCUUUUCCAUGAAUGCACACAUCUAAAGCGUUUUUUGGGUUCCCUCAUCUAAAUUUCUUCUGAAGUGUGCAGAUUGUUUUUCAUUAUCAGGGAGGACAAUAUUCUUUUCAAGGACUCAUUAGUCCCAGAAUAUUUAGCUGGUAAGAUACAUAUUUUAUGAUUCAUCCAUCUCUCCAAUUCUGACCUUACAUAUCAACCUGUCUCCAUGUACCCUUCUACUCCCUCCGUUCGGAAUUACUUGUCGUAGAAAUGGAUGUAUCUAGAUGUAUUUUAGUUCUAGAUACAUCCAUUUUUGAGACAAGUAAUUCGGAACAGAGGGAGUAUAUCUGGUGCUGCUACUUUUUUUUCUUACAUGGAUAUAUGUAUGAGAUUUCUUUGUUUAGGUAUAUUUGUGCCUGAAAGAAGUUUACAUCUAUUUUCUUGUUAGAUGAGCCUGAAUGAAAAUACUUAUGAGAUCGCAUGAAUGAGAUGUUGACGCCCUGUAUGCUCCAAAAUUGUAUCAUUCUUCCCACACAAUGGUUAGAAUCCCAGUUGUUGAAUCACAAUAGACAAGACCAUAUUUCACAUUUUGUAUAGUCCAACCAAUAAUACGUAUGGAGCCUGGUGAUGGUUAUUGAUAUAUUGUGAUAGUAGUUUCCUGCAUUAAUUAGUUAAUGAGCCACCCUUUCGUUUUCAACUCAAAGUGUUGCAACAGUUAAAUAGAUGUGUUCGUGCCAUUUAGCCCCAAAAUUCAGUUCAGUUUGGCUGUACAUCUAUUGCCGGCCCCUUUUCUUAGUACUGAUUGACCUUUAUGUGUUAAUAUUUUUAUUGACUUCAUUUUUUCCUUUAGUCCUUCCUCUUGGUGUAUAAUCCUGAUUGUGUGAGUUCCUUUCCUGGUAGGGUAUUUAUGAUUCAGACCAUUCCAUAACAAAAUGCAUAUAUGGCCUCAUGCAGUGGCGGAGACAGGCCCCAGGCAGCCCGGGCCGCUGCCUACAUGCAAUUCCUUUGUAGGUGUAGCAAACACUGUAGCUACAGUGCUACAGUGUUCCGAAGCCUGCCUGGGUCCUGCCAUAUUUCUGCCGCCGCUACUGGCCUCAUGCAUGUUUAUUGCUUGCCUGUGUAUACGUUGUGUUCUUAUCGGUUGUUUUCUGUGUGUUUCGUAGGAUGUGCGAUCUCUUCUGCCGCUACAUCUCCGUUCGACUCGCCAAAGUUUGUUGUUCUCCUUUUUACAUGUGUGUGUGUGUUUUACUUUCACUAUCUGCUAUAUCAUGCUAUCUGCCUUCAUGAUCGUUUAAGUAUUAUUAUGGUGUCUGCCAUGCUGAUCGUUUAAAUAUUUCGGAUACGGCAGGGCAUUGUGUGUUGUUCGUUCUCUUGCUACUUACAGUUCGUGUAUGCGUGUGAGCAGGAUCUAUGCACGUGUUUCCGUUGUUAUACUUGUUUUGGAGACUGAGGUAGCUCAGUGUGCUUUGCCGUCACUUUCGUGUCUGUGUGAGGUUGUAAACGACGGUUCUGUUCUUGCUGGUGUAGAACUUGAGCUCCCAGGGGACGGUUCUGCUCCAGUGCCACAAAGAGAUUUUUUUAGCUCGGCUUGGUGUGGUUUUAUGAAUAGCUAUGAGCAGGCUGCUCUACAGGUCUUGCGUAUUUUGCAAGGUUUAUAUGGACUUUUCGUUCAUGACAAUAACUAUGAAUGUAUGAUGGCCUAUAGGAGAUCUUUCUGUUCAAGAACAUUGCGGUUUCUUUGAUUCCUACUAUGCUAUUUACUCAGUCUGCAGGCCAGCAUAUUAUUUAGAUUCUUUAUAACUACCUUACUUCAAAGCUCAGUGCUGGUUUCCUUCAAGCUACAACCCCAAGGUAUGUCUUCUGAAACAGACAACUAUAAUAUGCUUAUAACUACUUAAUUGCACUCAUGUUUGUGUUUCCUUUUGUACCAAAUCGUCGUGCCCUGUCGGCUAUGCUAUAUGCCCACAUAUUUACACAUGUCUCCCUCUUCACUGGUUUUCUUUCACGCACCAGGCGAGCUCUGGUGGUCAAGCUGAUGCUUCUUCGCCUCCUGUUGAAGAAAAGGAUGAUAAGGAUGUCCAGGCUCGAGUGACCAGGAACAAGUGGUGCUGCUUUUUAUGCUGUCCAUCUAUAUAUGCAUCCCUUCAGUUUGUACAGACAAAACAAAUAUUCAUUUCUGACUAGAACAAAACUUGCAGUUAAGAAACUCUGCUGCUGGAAAGGGAGCUGGGCUACUAAACAGAAUAUAGUUUGAGCCUGCCAGUUCUUAUUAAUCCUAUGGCCUGUAUUUUUGCAGCAAUCGUCUUUUAUGUCUGGUUCCCAAAGUUAUUAGUUAGCCUGCCUAUUUCUCGCUGUUUGAUAACCUAUAUUAUAACUAUAGAGAAUAUAGUUUGAGCCUGCCAGUUCUUCUGCCUUGGAUAUGAAAUAAUGAGGCAGUUUUAAUAUUGUCGUAGAUUCACCUGAGUUUAUUUUAAACUACAGGAUGCAUCACUGAUGGAGAAAUACCUUACAGAAUGAUGCUGAGCCCCGUCUAGAAUGGAACCUUUUUGGAGCUGCUUAUGCUUGGUGCGGAGCGGGAAGCCUAUGAUAGCAACAGUAUUGGACUCCAUAGAACUGGAACUCUAUACCUUUCUUAUGUAGCUCUUCCUUUUGUUGUCUUCCCUAGAAGGGGCUGACGUAGUUUUUCUGAAUUACAUGUCUCCGCUUUGUUCUACGGCAGAUGCUUCUACUCUGGAAUGGUAGCAACAAUACUGGACUCCACUGAGAACUGGAACUCUAUACCUUUCUUGUGUAGCUCUUCCUUUGGUAGUCUUUGCUGGAAGGUGCAGAUGUAGUUUUCCAUUUGUUCUACGACAGAUGCUUCUACACUGGAAUGAACCUUUUUGGAGAUUCAACAUGUUUCUGACUUGUUGUACAAUAUCUCGAUGGUAGUACUUGAUUUAUUGUUUUAGCAAGCGUAAUGGCUGAUGCUUAAAAUAAACAACAGUUUUUUUUU